AGAGUUUGAUCCUGGCUCAGGAUGAACGCUAGCGGGAGGCCUAACACAUGCAAGUCGAGCGGGAUUGGCAGCAAUGCCAUGAGAGCGGCGCACGGGUGAGUAACGCGUAUGCAACCUACCUUAAACAGGGGGAUAGCCCAUGGAAACGUGGAUUAAUACCCCGUAUUAUUAUAUAUCCGCAUGGAUUUAUAAUCAAAGCUCCGGCGGUUUAAGAUGGGCAUGCGUGACAUUAGUUAGUUGGUGAGGUAACGGCUCACCAAGACUACGAUGUCUAGGGGUUCUGAGAGGAUGAUCCCCCACACUGGUACUGAGACACGGACCAGACUCCUACGGGAGGCAGCAGUGAGGAAUAUUGGUCAAUGGGCGCAAGCCUGAACCAGCCAUCCCGCGUGAAGGAUGACGGCCCUAUGGGUUGUAAACUUCUUUUCUGUACCAAGAAACAAUCCCUCGCGAGGGGUCUUGACGGUAGUACGGGAAUAAGGAUCGGCCAACUACGUGCCAGCAGCCGCGGUAAUACGUAGGAUCCGAGCGUUGUCCGGAAUUACUGGGUGUAAAGGGUCUGCAGGCGGGCAAACAAGUCGGUGGUGAAAUCCUAUAGCUCAACUAUAGAACUGCCUCCGAUACUGUUUGUCUUGAGUUCGAGAGAGGGUAAUGGAAUUCAUGGUGUAGCGGUGAAAUGCGUAGAUAUCAUGAAGAACACCAGUUGCGAAGGCGAUUACCUGGCUCGACACUGACGCUCAGGGACGAAAGCGUGGGGAUCAAACAGGAUUAGAUACCCUGGUAGUCC
rnacentral:rRNA from 1 species